rnacentral:rRNA from 1 species
CGCGUAGGUGGUUUGAUAAGCGAGAUGUGAAAGCCCCGGGCUUAACCUGGGAACGGCAUUUCGAACUGUCAGGCUAGAGUAUGGUAGAGGAGUGUGGAAUUUCCUGUGUAGCCGUGAAAUGCGUAGAUAUAGGAAGGAACACCAGUGGCGAAGGCGGCACUCUGGACCAAUACUGACACUGAGGUGCGAAAGCGUGGGGAGCAAACA